AGAUCGCAAAGUAUUAUAAAGACUUAAUUUAUAUUUUGGACGGACAGAAUCUCUUAGCACUAAUAAUUCAAUAGGCUCAAACUAGCCGUUCAAAAUAUUUAAAAUCGCUUAUUAAUAUUAAAAUAUAUGAUUUUUAUAUAUUUAAUUAUAAUUUUUUUUUUAAUCUUAUAUGAAAUUACUGAAGUGUUACAUGAUUGAAAUACUGAGAUCAAUUUGACUAUAAAAAAAGAUCUAGAGU
rnacentral:lncRNA from 1 species